AUGAAGGGGAUCCUGCUGAUGAAGCUCUACUAGGACAUCUGAUGAUUGUUGGCAAGAAAUGCAUUGCCUAUCUGGGCUUGGCAAAUUGCUUUCGGCUGGUCAUCAAUGAGAGUACAGAUGGUGGACAGUUUGUGCACCACAUUCACCUGCAUGUUCUUGGUGGAC